GUAGGGUGCAAGCGUUAAUCGGGAAUUACUGGGGCGUAAAGCGUGCGCAGGCGGUUUUGUAAGUCUGUCUGAAAGCCCCCGGGGCUUAACCUGGGGAAUUGCGAUGGAGACUGCAAGGCUUGAAUCUGGCAGAGGAGGGUAGAAUUCCACGUGUAGCAGUGAAAUGCGUAGAGAUGUGGAGGAACACCGAUGGCGAAGGCAGCCCCCCUGGGUCAAGAUUGACGCUCAUGCACGAAAGCGUGGGGAGCAAACAGGAUUAGAUACCCUGGUAGUCCACGCCCUAAACGAUGUCUACUAGUUGUCGGGUCUUAAUUGACUUGGUAACGCAGCUAACGCGUGAAGUAGACCGCCUGGGGAGUACGGUCGCAAGAUUA
rnacentral:rRNA from 1 species